rnacentral:rRNA from 1 species
UUCUACGGGCAUACCACCCUGAACGCGCCUGAUCAUGUUGAUCUCGGAAGCUAAGCAGGGUUGGGCCUGGUUAGUACCUGUUUUGGGAGACCACCUGGGAAUACAGGGUGCUGUGGGCU